rnacentral:rRNA from 1 species
UACGAAGGGGGCUAGCGUUGCUCGGAAUCACUGGGCGUAAAGGGUGCGUAGGCGGGUCUUUUAAGUCAGGGGUGAAAUCCUGGAGCUCAACUCCAGAACUGCCUUUUGAUACUGAAGAUCUUGAGUUCGGGAGAGGUGAGUGGAACUGCGAGUGUAGAGGUGAAAUUCGUAGAUAUUCGCAAGAACACCAGUGGCGAAGGCGGCUCACUGGCCCGAUACUGACGCUGAGGCACGAAAGCGUGGGGGAGCAAACAGGG